GAGAGAGAGAGAGAUUUAAGUGGAACCCAACUAAAGUUGUGAGCUGGUGAUUCGAAUGUUGAUAGAAAAUCCAUCGAAAACGAGAAGUGGAUGAGCAUAAAAAUUUAGGUUCUUGUGGAAGGAUCUUUGGGUCAAUACACAACUUAAAUUCUCUUUUAAGUGGUUGUGGUGGAAAAUGUAUAUCAUUGUAAUGAUAUUGUCUCUCUUAAUGUGUGUGUUGGGGAAAGUCACCAAAUAUGCCAUCCAUCUUUACCAUCCAUUCGACUCUACUCCAAAGAUCACGACCUAAUGGCAGCUGCAAACACCAUUAUAUGCCAUUAUAUGGAACUAAUUACUAUAUAAACAAAAAGUUAAAUAUCUAAAUAAAGUGUAAAAUAAUUACUGAUAAUAUGGGUCCAAAACAAAUAUGGAAGUAACAUGACAUAUCUUGGAUUCUUAAAGACAUUAUGUAGUCUAGUUAUAUAGCAGUAUUUUAGAUAAAAUAAAUAAACAAUAUGGGGUUU
rnacentral:lncRNA from 1 species